rnacentral:rRNA from 1 species
UGGGAUAACACCUGGAAACAGAUGCUAAUACCGGAUAACAACACUAGACGCAUGUCUAGAGUUUGAAAGAUGGUUCUGCUAUCACUCUUGGAUGGACCUGCGGUGCAUUAGCUAGUUGGUAAGGUAACGGCUUACCAAGGCAAUGAUGCAUAGCCGAGUUGAGAGACUGAUCGGCCACAUUGGGACUGAGACACGGCCCAAACUCCUACGGGAGGCAGCAGUAGGGAAUCUUCCACAAUGGACGAAAGUCUGGUGGAGCAACGCCGCGUGAGUGAAGAAGGGUUUCGGCUCGUAAAGCUCUGUUGGUAGUGAAGAAAGAUAGAGGUAGUAACUGGCCUUUAUUUGACGGUAAUUACUUAGAAAGUCACGGCUAACUACGUGCCAGCAGCCGCGGUAAUACGUAGGUGGCAAGCGUUGUCCGGAUUUAUUGGGCGUAAAGCGAGUGCAGGCGGUUCAAUAAGUCUGAUGUGAAAGCCUUCGGCUCAACCGGAGAAUUGCAUCAGAAACUGUUGAACUUGAGUGCAGAAGAGGAGAGUGGAACUCCAUGUGUAGCGGUGGAAUGCGUAGAUAUAUGGAAGAACACCAGUGGCGAAGGCGGCUCUCUGGUCUGCAACUGACGCUGAGGCUCGAAAGCAUGGGUAGCGAACAGGAUUAGAUACCCUGGUAGUCCAUGCCGUAAACG